ACACAUUUCUAGACAAGUAUCUUCCUAGAUAUUUCUAGAGAAUACUAGACGUGAUCAGUCUGUCAGCCACACGUUUCGACUUAAAAUUUCUUACAAGAAAAUAACUAAAUAUUUAGGCGUAGCCUAGAAAAAUCUAGAAUUUUUGGAGAAGAGAGGAGGUGCAAAAUUUUCUUCGUAUCGGCUGCAACAAUGCCUACUUUCUUACAUUGUUUGUAUGAACAAACAGGAUAAAGAAAGAGGUAGAUUAAGGUCUCCACCAGGAAAGCUCGUUUCGGCCAAAGUCUAGAUUUCAAGUCCGCACAAGUUCCUUAUGAUAAACAUGAGACAUAGAUCUGCAUUUUGUCGACUUAGGCGGGAUAGGUCGACUUGGUUUGUCUCAUGAGACCACGAUGCAGGCAAAGGCCACGCCGACAGGGCCACGAUGAUGGAAAGCUCGUUUUACACUCGCGCGAGAAAGCCUACGUACGGCCGUCUCUGGUUCGAACGAGGAUAAUCUUUUUCAGGUCUGUUCACUGUGUACCCAUGCAACGGAACUUCACAGGUUUAUCAUUCAAACCCUCUUAACCGACUAAGCAUCGGAGGGUCGAUUCAGUCCAGAACACCUACGAAGUCUCGUCUAUUGGUUUUUUUUUAUCAUUGGAUCACCAUUGCAACGAUGUCCGAUGAUCUCAACUAUUCACGAACAUGGUUAUUGAUACGCUAUAGAGGAAGAGCUACAAGAUAAAACAGAAGUGUAUGGUUACUGUCAAUGGCUGAAACUGGUAUCUGAGAGCACAAUGAGCAUGCAAGAACAGAUCAACAAUGUCAAA